UUUUAUUUCAUGCCUUGUUAAAGCUGCCAUGGUUGCAUCUGCAAGUUUUUGUAAGUUCAACUUCACAACAGUAUCCACAAACAUCUUAGUGUCCUCUUCAGUGUUCCUUUCCGGUAUCUCCGCCGAAUAAGACUCCAAAACAAUGCUAUAAGCCUUAUUCCCUCCUUCCCUAAACUCAUUAACCGAUGUCACUGCUCUAUAGUUUUUCAGCCUAUGGUCUCCCCCCACAACCCUAAAGCUCAAAAAAUGUUCAUCAUCGUCUAAUAUCUCUAGUAUUUCGGUGCUGGUGGACGCCGGUAAGCCUGAUAUAACCGUAACUUCUCUUAUGCUUCCAGCUCUUCCAUCUCCUUUCAUUAAGCAACUCUUGAUGAAGUGCUUGUUCUUAUUAGGGUUUCCGAAAUCGCGUACGAAUGGCCAUAUAAGGCUUAGGGGAGCGUUAUAGUUUUUGCAUGUGUUUGAGGAUAGAGGAAAGGUAUGGUGAGUUUGGAUGAUGGACUCAAGCUUGGAGAUUUCUUCUUUGGUUAGAUUAUUGUAACAAGCUAUAAGAUUAGGGUUCAUGGGGGGUUGUUUUUGGUGUUAAAGCUGGUUUGAGAGAUUUUUGCUUGGAGAAGAAAUUUUUGGUGAUGGGCGACGUUGGAUAAGAGUGGAGGAGGGUGGGAGAGUAUUUAUUCUCUUUUCUUCUACGGUACAAUCUCUUAUUUGAUCAAAUAUAUAUUGUUUUGUUUUUUUUUUUAACUAAUAAGAAUUUGUUAAUCACAUCAUCACUUACUCCUAGGCCAUGAAAACUUAUUCCGAAGCUUGAUUCUCCUCAAAAUAUAAAGAUUUCAAGAAACUCUUAGGGCGCUUAAUCAUGAAUUUCAACUAUAUAUAUAUAUAUAUAUAUAUAUGGGUUUUUUUUAUUGAACAAUUUUACAAUAUUGGUGAACUUGUGGCAUUUUCGUUUUUGACAGGAAAAAAGCAGAUGGUGUUGAAAGAAGAGAGAUGUGAACUUGGCAUUUUCAACUUGGCUAAAUUAUAUGAACUAGUAUAUACACAUGAAUUUGAGAAAGACAUCCCGGGUACUCCAAGUAUUUGCCUAAAAUUUCCCUGCCAAUUACCAACUUGUCUUUCUUUCUUGAAAGAUUAUGUAAACUUUAAGAAAAAAAAUGUAUAAUAGGGAGUGACUAGCCAAGUGCUUAUAUAUAUAUAUAUAGUAGUAUAUACCGUUAAGAAUUAAUAAAUGUUACCUUCCUCUUUCAUUAUGAUUAUUUUCCCAAUUGGUUUAUGGGGAUGAGAGGAAUUAACAAGUAAAAACUGCUGCAAGUUGACGUAAUCUAAUAAAAGAAAGCCACAAUUAGCAAGUGGGUAAUUUGAUAGAUAUUAAAGUUUGAAGGAAAUGCCGGAAUUGAAAUCUCCUCUAAUCAAGUUGACUAUUGGGUAAAUUCACAACUACUUCAUUUAGUUAUUUCUUUAUUUGUUGGUUUUGGUGGACUAUAGCGUCAUGUAUAUAUAAUGGUGUGGACUUUCAAUUUCCUUCAAUUAUAUAUAUAUAUAUAUAUUAUAACAAUAAUAAAGGUAUAAUAUUUUGUUAAUGAUUGACCAAAAACAAGGUAUAAAUGUGGUCAAUUGAGGUGAAGCAUAUUUAUUUUUUUGGGAAGAAAACUACAACUUGUGCUAUUUUGUGGACAAUCACCUCCUUAACUGUUCUUUGUUUACCAAAAGUAGAAUCUCUUGUUUUUUCAAAUAUAUUUUAUGAUCAUGAACGUUAUUGAUACGUUAAUUAUUAUAUAUUUUUUAGUAUAUAGUAUAUUGAUGAAUAUGUCUAAUUAAAUUUUUUUCAUAAAAAAUAUGUUUAAGUAAAAAAUUGUUACAUCUAUUUGCACAAAAUAAUUUUAUCAUAAUAAUAAAGUACUAAAAAAAUAUUAUGAGAUUAAAGAACCUUUUAAAAAAUAGAAGAAAAAAAAAGCAUAAAACCUUUUUGAGUAAAUUUAGCACAUCUAUGAUUUAAGUUACUAGAAAGGCUAUUAAUUUAAUAUUUUAUGAUUAUAAAUAAGUGAUAUUGAUCUAGUUGUUUAAAAUAAUGACUGCAUUUAGCACAAUAAUGCCACUUUUUUAAAUAAAUAUAUUUAGAACUGCAAAUUGCAGGCUAAGCAUAUGGGUAUCGACCAACAAUCUUGAACCCCAUGAAAAAGUAAUUUCUGGACUAAAGGGCCAUGCAUUGGGCUACUUUAACCGAUUCUUUUAAGGCUUUUAUGAAUCCAUUGGGUGGAUAACUAUUUUGCUCCUAUUUGUUUCUGGGUCCUUGAAUUUGGGUUUAGCCGAUAUCUGCUGGGAAUAGUAAUUUCGUGUUUCUUGACUAAAUUUGAUUUUUUUUUUUUUUUUCGAUUUAGCAUUGCCUGCAACUUGGGAGUUUCAUAUGUUCUUUUCAUGAGUUAAACAAUUUGAAAUUCUGGGGUACUUUUCUUUUAUUAGUAAUACUAAUAGUUUUCAUGAGUUUCAAAUGCUUUUUAAAGAAAGAAAAAUGGUGAUCAAUUCAUAUCCCACCUAAAGACUUCAUUGCCCAAUUAAUUAACGGUUAAAUGUUUAAUUUAAGAUUAAAAAUUUAAAUGAUUACUUAAUUAAAAAUUAAAUAUUUUAAUUUAUAUAAAAAAAAAUUUAAUGUUAUUGACUUGUAACAAUAUAAAAUUUUUUUAAUAAAAAUUGAUAUGUAAAAUAUAUGCAUUAUGAUAAUGUGUGAAAAAAAAUUAAAAAUUAGUUGAUCUAGUACUUUAAUGUUGAUUUGGUUACCUUUUUUUAGUAUUUGAUGAAAAAAUAUAUAUUUAUCAAAUGUUAUCAAAUCAGUGACAAAAGAAAGUUAUUAACAAAAAAAUAAUAAUAAUAAAUCUAAAAUCACUCAAAGCAUAUAUGUUUUAUCCUAAAUCACCUAAAUAACUUUUGGGUUUAAAUUCGUUGUUAACCCAAACAAUCUUUAUCAUCAAGAAUCUCAAAUUUUAAUAUUAUGUUUAGAUUUUUAACCAAGACAACAAUUUCUUGAGCGAAAGUGUCUUGAAGAACAAGCUCAUUCUUUUCUCCAUCAAGUUCACCUUUUAUUACUUUAACGACGAUGUCUUUAGUUUGCACCAUAGGAAUUGCAUCAAUUCUUGAUUUCCUCUUGCUCUGUUUCUGCAGGAAUGUCACUUCUUCUAAUGCCAAUCUACACAUUUCAAUUUUUUUUUUAACUUAUUUCCAAUUUUUCUUCUAUUUCCAAUUUAAAAUUUCAAAACAAAAAUUUUAAAAGAAAACCCCUAAUCUAAUUAAAAAGAGAAAAAUGAGAUUACAUUCUAUCUUCUUUGUCAUUUGAUUUGGCAGCGAGGUUAUCACUUUUGUCUUCUUAAAUGCUUCUUUUUUAAAAAUUCUUUCUCGUCUGCAUUUCAGUUUUCUUCUUUUUUCGAUUUUUUUGCCUAAUUUCAGUAAAAUUAAAACUUAUAGUAAACCCUAAGUUCUCUAGGUUUUAAAUAGAAAGGAUAAUGAAGAAGAGAAAUCAAAUAGGCUUAGAAAAAAAAAAAAAAAAAACCAAGAGCCUUUUUAUCUGUCAUUCCACGUAAAAAACUUAAUUCCACUUUAUCAAAUUUAACGCCGCAUAUCUUUUAUCUUUAAUUUCUAUUAAAAAACAGUUAAAAAUGUGUCAUACAGAUUUUGUAUUUCUUUGAUUUCUACUAAGAAUUUUUUAGUCUUAUACAAUAUUUUAAAAAAAUUUAAUCCCUAUGCAUUUUUAACAAUUGAACUAAAAUCUUUAAAAAUUAAUAUUAUAAGGACUAAAUUUUUUUAAAUAAUAUUAAAGGGACUAAAUUUAUAAAAAUCGAAGAGUACAAUGACCUAUGGCAUAUUUUGACAAAAAAAAAAUCAUAUAUUGUUACAAGUCGAUAAUAUUUAAUAUUUAUUUAUAUAAAUUAAAACAUUUAAUUUUGAAUUGAGCAACCACCUAAAUGUUUAAUAUUAAGCAUUUAGUCUUAAUUGACCUUAGAGAAUGUUUUAAUUCUAUUUUAUUUCUUUCACAAGAAUCUUGUUGUGACAUUUUUUUCAUGUAUAAACUAGUAAUUGGGGCCAACUUCAUUCAAUUUUUUAAUUACUUUUUUAUAUUGUAUUGAAUUAAUAUUUUAUUAGGUAAUUGUAAUGUUGAAUAGAAAAUGUUAAUUGUUAAACAAAAAAAUUAUAUAAUCUUGAGCAUCUUUCUGGCCCCAUAUAAUGUGCUUGAAAUAUCUAAUUUCCCUGUCUCCUAGCAUAGAUUACUGGUGGUUUUUGGAAAUAACGCCUAAAUGAGGUUACUGGAACCACUGGAUACUCAUAUUAUGCAUGUGUUCAUAUAAAUACACACCUUUGUAUGUUUGUCAAUCAAUGUGUACAUAAAAUAUUAUAAAUGUGACAUUUUUUUUAUUUAUAGUGAGUUAAAUUAACAUUAUCUUCAUAAAACAAAAAGGCCUAAACAUUUAUGCAAUGACUCCACAUCGCUACAUUCGUAUUUGUUUUUUUUUUUUACUUUCUUUUAGAUAAAAUGCAAACCAUUUCUACUUUCAAAUUUCCUCACUAGUCACCCUAAAGGGAUGAUUAAGAAUAAGAAAACUAAAGAUAAUCUCAAUUUGGGUUUUGGUUAGAAAAUGUAAAGAUGAUAAGCAAUUUAACUUGUGCAUCAUACAAAAGAACAACAAUAUUAUUACAAAGACAAUUUAUAGUUUAGGAAAGGGAAAAAAAGAGAGGAAUUGAAGAGGAAAUUUAGCGAAGAAUGUUGAGAAAGUCUAAAAGAGCAUGGCUUAUCUUUUUCAGGAACUAGUCUUACUGAGUUUUACUUUUCCUGAAUAGAGGCUCAAGUAAGGAAAACAUAAGUGAUGCCAUAACCCAUGAAUCGUUUGCUUUAUAAAAACUAAAUGCCACAUCCAUUAUGCCAUAUGGGCUUCUUGGAAUGAAGCUAAAACUGCGCUUGUUUGAUUGGUUGCCUUCUACUUUUAUUGUUGCUAAUCUUAUUGUCAACUUACAACAUUCAUCUACAUUGUCCUAAUUGAAAGAUAAAUUGAGAUUUAAGAAGGAUGAAAUUUACACAUUUAACAUUGGAAAAAGCUAAAGAAAUAAGAUACCUUAUCAAUUCCCAUGAUGCCUAAUAGCUUGUUUUGGUAUUCCACUCUAAGAUUAGGUUCUACAUUAUCCACAACAUACAGCAUUAUAGUAGUGGCCAUCACUGAAGGAAGGUAGCACAUAAACCUAAAAUUUUCCAAUGAAUUUAACAGAAACUAAGAAAAAGAUGAAAAUUUGAAAAAAAACAUAAAAAUAAUACAAUUGAUCUUAUUUUUUCUAUAUAGAUUACAUAGUGUAUCCAAUUCAAAUCCAAUUAAUAAUUUGAUAAAUAAAGAAAAUGAGGUUUUUGUUUUGGUGCUAACCUGAAAUGAUAAAGAGCAAAAUGCGAUCACAUCUCCUAAGAAAUUCCUAACAAAGAUGGUCUUUUAAUCCAAGUCUCAUUGCAAAGUAAUCAAGAAAUGAAAGUGAGGUUAUAGUGUUCAUCUUCCAUUGAAGCAUGGAGAAUACCAAAAUCUCUAUUCUUUAGAUAGUUUUGGCCUCAAACACAUAUCUGCUCUCUUCCACCUAAACAGAUCAACCAAAACACAACAUUCAUAAACCGAAAAAAAUGGCAAGUUAAUAAAUUAAUUAAUUAAUCUGCACAAUUCAUGCAUUACAAAUAUAUAAGUUUUUUUAAUGUUUUCAACACUAAUUUAAGAAAAAUUUAAGUCUUUACAAUAUUGCAAGAUGCCUAAUCCUAUUAAGCCAGAUUAAAAGGCAUAACAACCAUAUUGCAAUAAAAUAUCAAAAACAAUAAGUAUAAAUCACAAAACUUACACUCGACUGGUCAUUUUUAUCAUAAUGAACUACAUCACCUUUCAGCUCUUUUAUUUCAGAGAAAAGUUUUUGAAAUGUACAUAAAGUUUUAAGGUAUUUCACUAAAAAAUAACAGAAACUCUUCACACUUAAAGUUAUAAAUAAAUGUAUCACUUUACCCUAAUAUCUUCAUUCGAGACUUCAUAACCUAAGUUAAACACAUAUAACUUGGUGCCAACUUCUACUCCUGACAUCCCAGUAGCUUUAAGGUUGGCUUUAAACAAAUCAUGCUACCAUGGUAAGCCCCUAAUCCUAUGGGAAGAUUAAUGUAAGCAAACAUAAUGUGUCAACUUAUGACUCAAUAGCAAGAUCACCAAUCUUCAAUAUAAAUUAAGAUAAGCUAGUAGAAUAGUCCAAUUUAGUAAAACGUUGAAGCAAUCCAAUAAAACACCAGUUGAUUUAGCUACUUAACACAAAUAGGAGUUCAGGAUUAAACCCACUUCAUUUAGAUCAUUGCUACAUUAUGGCAAAACACUCCGAUACUGAAGGUAUAAGAAGGAAGCUCUUUUGUAAAAAAACUAUGAACAGAAUAGAAACUAAAAUCUUACACCAAAAAAUUUUUAGAAUAGCAAGAGGAUCCAUAAAUAUAAUACACCUGUCAACAAAAAGACCAAAACGUUAAAUCCAAACAUAAAAAUGAAACCUAGAACCAAUAAAAUAAAAUUUCACUCAACUUAAAUAAACACAAAAACAAUCACUGUGAGAAUUUGAGUUGCAUGUUUAGUUUUUUUAAUUUUUUUGUUGCAAAAAAUCUAAAACAACCAAGGUGAAUUUGAGUUAAAAAAAUCAAAUCAAUCACACAAAAAACAAAUAUGCAACAAUAAUUAAACAAAAAACACAAACCAAUUUUAAAAAAAAUCCAAUCAUAUUAUCAUUCAUGCAAUAUGCAACAAAUAUUUUAUACAAAUAUUUUAAACAAAUAAAAAAAAAACCAACAUGUAAAUCUCACAACAAAUAUUUUAAACAAAUUAAAGACAAAAAGAAACAUAAAAUUGAAAAAAAAUUGUUUAAUAACAAAAAAAAAGACCAAAAAUUAGACAAUGUGAGAUUUGAGUGGGAUUUUUACUCUAACAUUUACUCGAUGAAAGGGAAAACUCACACAAAAAAAAAAGUUAUCUUAGAUCCCACAACAGCUCUAUUUUAAACAUAAAUAGAAACAACAUAAAGAAGUUUUGAAAGUGAAUAAGAUUUACAUUUGUCAAAUACAAAACCACUAAAGAAAACAAGUGUCAAAAAACUGAUUCAUCUUCCAACAAAGUCAAACAUAAAACAACAUAAAAAAAACAGAAAUGUCAACCAAUAAAACACGCUUAAUAUAUAUAAAAAAAAAAAGACAUGUGGCAUUUCCAAAUCUCUUCGGGGAUCCAUUUUUUAUAAAGUUAUAUAGAUGUUAAUUAAUUAGUUUUAGCUAGAUAAAUCAUAAAGUAUUAAUUUUUUAACACUUGUACAAUUUUCCUUUAUUAUAAUUGGAUAAAUGAAAAAACAAUUAUAUUAAUAUUUAUUUUUUAUUUUGUCAUCUUUGCCACCCUAGUCUAACUUCUAGUAAUUUCACUUCUAUUUCUAAUUUCUUUUAGAAAAUCGAAUCUUUUCACGUUUUGAAUAAGAUUAUAUAUAUAUAUAUAUAUAUAUAUCCAUUCUAUGGGUGGAAUAGAAAAAAAUAACGAAAAUAAAAAUAUUUUGGAAGCAAAGAAAAAGUUAUGAUGGUUUUCGGUUAAAAGAUAAGUGGGUCGUUUUUUUGAAAAAUAUAUAUUAUAUAAAAAUUGAAAGACAUGAGUACUCUUGACGUUUAUUUGGUUUUUUAUAUUUUUUUAAUUAAGUUGAUGUCAUUUAUAUCGUGAUACCCAUUACUCAACUGUAGGUUUUACGAUUAAUAUAAAUAUAUAUUUAGUUAUCGAGAGAUAAAAACUUUUUAUUUUAAAAUUAUUGGAACAGAAAAUUGUGAUAUAUUACGAUGGUAAUAAUUUUGGAUGGAAUAUUAGGCCCAUUAAUUAUCCAACUUUAAGAACCAACAGUCCAUGGCCCAUGGGCGAGUCUGAUCAUGCCAAUGAAAGACUCAUCCCAGCCUUUCUAAAAUAGAAUAUUGGAACAAUUUUCUUCUUCUUCUUUGUUCUUUUGCCUGUGGCUGUCUGUAGGCAAGUCAAAAUCGUGCAUUCAGAAGAGUUGUUGAUUUCUUUCUGCUUAUUUUGCACAUAUUCAUGCAUGCCUAUACUAUAUACUAAACCUUGGGACAUAGCAUUAGUCAACUUUUCAUUUUAAGUUUUGUAGUCUGACAUUUACUUUCUCAUCUUUUGUGAGAAGACAGCACUAAUGUCUUUGUUCUCUUCCUUACAGAUUGCAAAUCCAGGUUGGGGAUCCGUCUUUAACUCAUCCUACUGAACUAUUAUUGGGACAGCAGACCUGAUGAAGGGCAUACCAGAGCUCAGUCUCUUGUAGGAUAGCCGGCGGCCUAAUCAAUGAGGUUAUUUCUUAUUGAUGUAUGGAAUAAAAAUGUCACCAAGUUGCAGCGCAGGCUCCCUACCUAAAAUAAUUAUGCCGAAUCUUUGCAGUACAUUAUAAUUAUAAUAUUAAUUUAUAUAAAAAAUUUUCAUAUUAUAAAUAUAUUAAAACUAAUUACAUGUUAAGCUUAAUUUUAUAUCCUAAUCUAGUACAUAUGUUAAAAAAUUAAAAAAAAAGGAAAACAAGCCUUGAUGGCUAUUGCAUUAUAGAAUCACAUAUUAUUGAUUGAAUAGGACUAGUAAAGGGUUCAAGUGAAAAGAUUUUUUUAAAAAAACAAAAAAAUGAAAAUGAAAAAAAAAUUUUGUUAGUUUUUCUGAAAGGAAUACGAAAACUAAAAAAAACCUCUAAGGAAGAGAAAAAAAGUUGAGAUUGAGAAUUUAAUCAUGCAAUUGAAGAUGUGAAAGUAAAACUUGCCUUUUAAACUCUUUUUAAUUUUGAUCUUUGUGAGAAAAAUAACUUAAAUAUUAUGUUAAGAUUUUAAUAUUUUAAAUUUUUAGGUAACAUUCCAACAAUUUUUCAGUGAAAUUGUGGGUACCAAUUGAAAUGUCUCUUUUAAGACUUUUCUAAUAGUAUGUGUGGCACUCUAUUUAAUUGAGUAAUUUAAGAGAAUUUAGUGUUUUAAAAUUUUGAUUUUUUUGUUUUUGACAAUUAUAUAUGCCUAAUUUUGAGCCGUCAAACUUCCUACUUCGAUGGCUAAUUUAGUUGAACUUUAAGUACUUUAGAAGUAAGAAAUGUGAACUUUCUAGUGGUAUAUUUGGUUUGUUCAAAUUAUUUAUAGGCUAAGAGAAUUGAAGCCCUAAAUUAGUCUUCAUGAAUUUAAAACCCAAAAAAUCUAAGCUGUUUGUAAUAAUUUAUUAAGUUUUGACCUUUGAAAUAUAGGUGUCAAAAAAUCAUUUUUGCCGAAACAAAAUUCUAAGUUGUAGUAUUACAUUCUUACUUUAAACUUAUCAUUUUCGUUGUCACUAGAAACUAUAGGAUGUUCGAGAUUUUGUAGCUCCAAGUAAGUCAAAUGAUCACAUAAUGUAAAAUUUUCAGAAUUUAGAAAUUCUCGUUUUUAAUUAUUUUAAAAAUUGUUUCCAGCCACCAUUUAAUUUACUUAGUUAUAAAUUACAUGAGUUUUAAUUAUAUUAUUUUUAAUGAAUUAUUACUUAUUUUAUAUAUAUUUUUAUUGUGUUAAUUUCAUAUUUUUAAUAAUGUUAAAUGGUUAUUAAGUUAUAUUUAGAUUUACAAAAAAAAAUUAAAUAUUUGUAAAAAUCUAUAUUGCUACUAAUUUUUAUAUUUUAAUUCUUUAUUUCAUAUUUAUACUUAAUUUUAGGCAUUUUGUUAUAUUAAAAGAAAAUUUAUUUUAUAUGCUAAAAACAAAUGCUUUCAAUUAGUUUCGAAUUGUCGAAAUUGUUGCCACACAACCCAAUUGCUUAGGAUGACUAUCGAAAGGUUUGCUUUAUUAAAUUUAUGUUUUUGAGAUAAAUUUUGAUUUUUGAAUAUUUCUUGAAUUUUUAGAAUACUAAGAGAAUUGAGUAAUUUGCUACUUAAGUUUCGUUUUAGUGCAUCAAGUACGUGAUUUUAUAUCCCUUCGAUUUUUAUGUCCCUAAAAAUUAGCCUCAAUAUAUUUACAGUUGAAAUAUAUAAUAUAUAGUGUUUUGUUAAUUUGUUUUGUAAAUCGAAUUGAGCAUGUAAAAUAUAUGUAUGAUUUUUUUGUUAUGAGUUUAGAAUAUGGUUUGAUAUUAUUUUAAUUUUUAAAUAUAAUUUCGUAAUAAUAUAUUUAUAUAUCCAUCAUUUGUUGAAAUAUGAAAUUUUACUUUGGAAUGAUUAUAGAAUUUACUUUGUAUAGAUUACGUUUUGAAAAAAAUUUAUAAAUAUUGAAUUUAUAUAUGUUUGGUAAUCUAAAAAUAUAUUGUGAUUUUUGUCUCCUACUAUGACUAUGUUCUGACCUUGCUAAUAGGAGUUAAUUGUCAGCCAUAUCGACAUGUACUUUGUGAUAUCGAUACCGAUUUUGAAUCAUGCCACUAGUUGAGAAUAAUGAUUUUUAUUCAUCAUACCAUCGAUGAUAUACUUAUAUCGCAUUGCACUAAAAAGGUUACUAUGAUUUUUAUUCUAUCCCAUUACACUAACAGGUUAAUUAUGAUUAUUAGUGCAAUGAUCUAGUUGCUUUUGAUAUAUUUUUAUCCCAUUGCACUAGAGGAAAAAUUUUGAUUUUGACUUAUAUCUAUGGGUUAAGUGUGGUCACAGUAUGUUAGGAAAAACUAAAUAAAUUUAUAAUUUUGUAAUAUUUGAUUUCAUUUUGUGAACUAAGAAUAUGGUUUUGAGAAUAUGUUUGUGAAUACAAGAUUAUCCAAAAUAUUUUUUAAUCAUUUAGUUAAUGUUUUGGUCUAAAUGUUUUGUGGCAUGUUUAGUUCAACUUAGGGAUGUCAGUUACUUACUGAGUCAUCGUACUCAUUCUUUCCAUUUUCUUUACUUUUUUAGAUUUCGAUGUUUAUAUCUUGGGAAGCAUAAUCUCAACAACUACUUGAAUUAGAAAGAUUAACAUCUGUCUUUAACUUUGUAUAGCUUUCGAGUGAAUAUUUUAUUAUUGAUUAUAAAAGAUUUGCUAGUAAGAAUUUUAGUAUAUUCAACCAACUUGUAAAUGGUAUAAUUUUGUAGACUUGAGAUUCUUAAAAUAUUAGUUUGGAGAUUAUUAGAGAUUUUGAUUUAAUUCGAUAUAUGUUGCCUUGCAUGCUUAUGAGAUUUAUCUUAUGAGUAUGCGACGUUGUUACGUCCUAAAUCUUCAAGUUUUGGGCAUGAUAGAUUAGUGGUAUCAAAGUUCAAGUUUGUGAUUCUGGAGAUUUUGGGUUACUUUGUUUGAUUAAUAUGAAAAUAUUAGUUUUGAAAUUUUGUGUUAUGAAAAAAAUUUGGGAUUUGUUUGAUAAAGAGUAUUGGUAGUUGUAAGUGAAAUGAUUUUGAUGUGAAUUUGGUGAAAAUGAUAUCUUAAGCUCAACGAUUAUUACGGAGAAAGUUCUGUCAAAAUAUUAUAAGUUUAAGGCAAAUUAAAUUUUCGAUCCAUGGAGAUUUUGAUGUUUUGUGAUUUUUGUGGAUCCUAGAUUUCCUAAUCCAAUUAAUUUUUAGACUUCAGUUUUGGAAUUGUGAUGAGGAGAAAGUUUGGUGAAGUUGAUUAUAAGUAAUGAUAAGUUGUAAGUGAUUUUUGUGUGAAGAUUUGAUAAGAUAAUUACCUUAAGCUCAAGUUGGUAGUAGAUUUUUAUCUUUAGAGAUCCUAUAGAAUUGAGGUUGAAAUUUUUUAUUUUUGGUGAUUUGUUUUAUGUUUGCUUAUCGGUUUGGUUGAAUCUUUAAUCAUGAUAUUUAUUGUACCAUUCGAAGCUAAAGUAUAAAACAUUAGAUAAGCGAUGAAGUGAUAUGCCUUUAAAUAAAGUGACUUUGGUGGGAUUUUUAUAUAAAUUGGAUAUUUUAAGCUCAAGAGUUAUUGUAGAGAAUGAUUUGAAUCUUUUGAGGUGUUAUGGUAUCGAAGUUAGAUUUUCGAUCAAUUAAGAUUUCAAAGUUUUGUGAUGGAUUUUUAUUAAAUUUUUUUUAUAAUGGAUAUAAAAUAUUUUUGUUGAGAUAAAGUAUGAAAAUUUAUAUUGACAAGAAUUGAUAUGAAGUUUCGAGAUAUUUAUUAUUAUUGAUUGUAAAUUUUAUUUACAGAUUACGAUUUUUCCACUUACAGUUAUGAUCAAUAGAAGUUAUGAUGCAAAUGAGGAUUUUGAUAAUAUUAGUGUGAUUUUGAUUUCAAUAAGUAAUAUAUAACUUGAUCGUAAGAAUUGACUUUUUAAUAAUUUACUAGAAUUCGAUUAUUAUAUGGGUAUGGUAUUACGGUUUUAAAAUUUAUCUUAAUGGCUUUUGUUUAUUAUAUUGUACUAGUGAUAAAUAGCGUUAUAUGCAUAAUAAGACAUUUGUUUAUAUUGAUAUAUUUUAUUUUAUUAAAAAUUAUUUAUCUUUGAUAACAAGAGUUAGAAUCUUAUGUGAUUAGCUUGAAGUGUGAAAAAUUACAAUUGUACUUGAAAGGCAAAAGAUUUAUUAAUAGUCCUAUGAUAAAAUAAUGAUUAUGAUUUUUAUUGAGAUAGAAUAUGAGUUUGUUUGAGUAAUGUUAACAAAGAAUAUCACAUAUUAUGGUAUAAGACAUAUGUUAUGAUUCCUGCAUGAAAAUUAAGGUUGUAGCCGUGGAAAACUGUCAUUUAAAAAAAAAUGGAUUUUGACUGAAUAUUAAGAAUUAUAAAAUUAUGUUUUACUAAGACUAAAUCGUUGUGAAAUAAGCAUAAAGGACAUAUUGGACUACAAGAAAAUUUUGGAACAUUAUAUGAAGCUAUAAGCCUAUAAGUUUGGUGAAAAUUUUGAUUGUUAUUUGAUAAUUGGCUUAUAGAAAUCAAAAACUAUUUAUAUAUGAAUUUGAAGUUAAAUUAUUUAUAUAUGAAUUUGGAGUUAUAUUGGGUAUUCAAUGGACUAUGUCUGAAUUUGUAUGCUAAGAAACUUGGGAUAUGAUCUAUAGCAUUGUCUUGAUCAUCAUUACAAUUUAUGAUGAUUAUAUUGAUAAGCAAUAUUUUGUCAGUCAAAAGAAAAAAUUGUAAGCUUCAUUAUGUGACUUGGUGUUCCAUGAAAUUAUUUAAAGUCGAUCCCUUUAAUUUUUCUUUGAAGUGGUUGGAAUUUGAAGUGGACAAUAUGAUUAAGAUGUGAUUAUAAUUUCAAAUUGAAGGGCAAUAUGAGAAUUGAUGAAUAAUGUUUUAUGGAGAUUGCACUUUUUAUGGGCUUAUGAUUUAUUUUGUGUAUAAAAACUACAUGUAAUAAGUACACAUAAUGGCUUUUGUAAUGAUAAGGUCAACUUCAUUUACGAUUUUGUCAUUCAAGGAUUUGGAGUAUGGAUGCAAUUUUAAAGAAUUUAAGAAAAUUACGAUAUAAAGCAAUAUAUUUUGGGUGGUUUUAUAAUUGCAUUUUUUAUAUGAAUUAUACUCUUAGAAUAUAUGGAUUGAAAUUUCGGCAAAAAGAUUACUUAUUGUAAAUAGAUUUUUGACAUUGAUUUGAAGUUAAUAAAUAAUAUACUGUCUUGAAAGAAAAUUUGGGAUAUUAGAUGGUUAUAAGUCUGUUAAAUAGUGAAAUGAUUAUGUGAAAUUUGAUCAUUGAAAUUUGGAAAGUAAUGAUCUGUGAACAAGGAGUUUUAUCAUGAAUUCAAAGUUUAUAUUUAGAUUUUUGUGGUGAAUUUUGAAUGUAAUCAAUUGCAUUGGUUUUACAUUUAUCACAGUUUUCCAGUGGUUAAAAAAAAUUUAUGAUAGAAAAAAAAAAGAAUCAAUAUAUGAUUUCUCUGAGAUAGCUAUUUGGUGAUGUUGUUACUAGGAUUUAAGGACAUAUGUGAACAUCUUUAUGAGAAUGAACUAGAAACUUCAUUGUAAAGGAUGUUAUGGACAAGUGAUUUUGUUGGCGCAAGAAAUAUUAUAAAAUCAAUUGAAUGUUUUUGGAUUAUAUUUGAAUGAUAUCAGAGUGCACAACAAAAACAUGAAUCGAUGUAAGUUAUGGAUUUCAAAUUAUUGCUAAUUCAAUAAAUAAUGAAUUCUUUUAAAUUGGAGACUGAUUGUAGGUUAAUAAUAAAUAGAUUAUAAAUUUUGAUAUUUAAAAUUUGAGAUUUUAUAAGAGUUGUGAAGUUGUAGUAUAAAUGUUAUGAAUGAUUUUGCUAGUAAAGAAUCAUUUGAAGAGUCGAAAUUACAUUAAGGUGAUUUUACCUAACUAUGAUUUAAGUUGAGUAUCAUGUAUCUUUCGAGUAUAUAAAAUUUGCAAAAUAGUUAUGUUUUGUGAUUGGAUGUUGGAACGAAAAUUGAGAUUGGAUAUUUAGAAUAUUUGUUUAUUAAGCUAUAAUGGAUAUAUUUUAUACAGUGGAGUUUAUAUCGAUUUGGCUAUAUAAGAAAUAAUAAGGAAAAGACUUGAUUAAAACUAUUAAAGUGAUACAUCAUGGAUUUUAAUAAGAGGAUGUUAUAUGACAUUAAAUUAAAACACAAAAAAACUUUGAGAUUCGGAUUUUGAAUUUGGAAAACCAAAUUUUUUUAAAUGGGGAGUAUGUAAUACCCAGUCCCAAUUUCAUAUCCUAAUUAGUUGAUUCAACUCAUAUGUUUUUGAAAAAGAAAACAUGCCUUAAUGGCUAUUGUAUUAUAGAAUCACAUAUUAUUGAUUAAAUAGGACUAGUAAAGGGUUUGAGUGAAAGGCAUUUUUUUUUUUUUUGAAAAAAAAUGAAAAACAGAAGAAAAACUUUGUCAGUUUUCCUUAUAUAGUUUUUUUGAGAGAAAAGGGAAUACGAAAACUAGAAAAAAAACUCUAAAGAAGAAAGGAAAAUGGUUGAGAUUGAGAAUUUAAUAAUGCAAUUGAAGAUUUGGAAGUAAAACUUACUUUUUAAACUCUUUAAUUUUGGUUUUUGUGAGGAAAAAACUCAAAUAUUAUGUUAGGGUUUUUAAUAUUUUAAAUUUUCAGGCAACAUUCUGGUAACUUUCCAGAGAAAUUGUGGGUAUCAAUUGAAAGGUUUCUUCAAGACCUUUCUAAUAGUAUAUGUGGCACUUCAUUUAGUUGAGUAAUUUAGAAGAAUUUAGUGUUUCAAGUUUUUGAUUUUUGUGUUUUUGAUAAUUAUAGACGCCCAACUUUAAGGUACCGAAACUCCUUACUUCAGUGCUGAUUUGGUUUAACUUUAAGUGCUUUUGAUAGUAUAAAAUGUGAACUUUCUAGUGGUAUAAUUGGUUUCAAAUGAUUUAUAAGCUAAGAAAAUUAAAGCCUUAAAAUAGGUUUCAUGAAUCUGAAACUCAGAAAAUCUAGACUUUUUGUGAUAAUUUAUCAAGUUUUGACUUUCGAAACUUAGGCUUCUGAAAAUCAUUUUUAUCGAAACAAAAUUCUAAGUUGUAAUAUUGCAUCCUACUUUAAACUCAUGUUUUCUUUUGUUACUAGGAACGAUAGGAUGUUUGAGAUUUUAUGGCUUAAAAUAAACUAAAUGAUCACAGAAUAUGAAAAUUUCAGAACUUAAAAAUUCUCGUUUUAAUUUAUUUUAAAAAUUGUUUCCAGCCACUAGUUGAUUUCCUUAAUUAUAAAUUACAUGAGUUUUAGUUAUAUUAUUUUCAAUGAAUUUUUACUUAUUUUAAUGUAUUUUUAUUAUGUUAAUUUCAUAUUAUUAAUAAUGUUAAACAAUUAUUAGGUUAUAUUUAGAUUUACAAAAAAAAAGUUACUAUUAAAUAUUUGUAAAAAUCUAUAUUGUUACUAAUUUUUAUGUUUUAAUUCUUUAAUUUCAUAUUUAUACUUAAUUUUAGGCAUUUUGAAAUAUUAAAAGAAAAUUUAUUUUAUAUGCUUAAAACAAUACUUUUAAUUAGUUUUGAAUUGUCAAAAAUGUUGUCACACAACCCAAUAUGCUUAGAAUAACCUGCAAAAGAUUUACCUUACUAAAUUUAUGUUUUCAGGAUAAAUUCUGAAUUAUGAAUAUUUCUUGAAUUAAUAGAAUGCUAAGAGAAUUGAGUGAUUUACUGCUUAAGUUUCAGUUAAGCACAUCAAGUAAGUGACUUGAUAUCCUUUCAAUUUUUAUGUCCCUACAAAUUAGACUCAAUAUAUUUAGAGUUAAAAUAUAUAAUAUAUAUUAUUUUAUCUAUUUAUUUUCUAAAUUGGGUUGAGCAUGCAAAAUGUAUAUAUGAUUUCUUUGUUAUAAUUUUGAAAUAUGGUUUGAUAUUAUUUUGAUUUUCAAAUAUAAUUUCGUAACAAUUUAUUUAUAUAUCCAUCGUUUGUCGGAAUAUGAAAUUUCGCUUUGGAAUGAUUAUUGAAUUUACUUUAUAUAGAUUAUGUUUUGAGAAAAUGUAUAAAUAUUAAAUUUAUAUAUGUUGGGUAAUAUGAAAAUAUAUUGUAGUUUUUGUCUCCUCGUAUGACUAUGUUCUGACCUUGCCAAUGGGGAUUAAUUGUUAGCCAUGUCGACAUGUACUUUGUAAUAUCGAUAUCGGUUUUGAAUCAUGUCGCCAAUUAAGAAUAAUGAUUUUUGUUCAUCAUGCCAUUGGUGAUAUACUUCUAUCCCAUUACACUAAAAGGGUUAUUAUGAUUUUUGUUCUGUUCCAUUGCACUAAAUAGUUAAUUAUGAUUGUCAGUGCAAUGAUCUAGUUGCCUCUGAUAUACUUCUAUGCCAUUGCAUUAGAAGGAAAAUUUUGAUUUUGACCUAUGCCACAGAGGUUAAGUGUGGUCGUAGUAUAUUAAAAAAAACUAAAUAAAUUUUUUAUUUUGUGAUAUUUGAUUCUGUUUUAUGAUCUAAGAAUCUGGUUUUAAGAAUAUGUUUGUGAAUAUAACAUUACUCAAAAUAUUUUUAAAUCAUUUAGUUAAUGUUUUGUGGGAUGUUUAAUCCAAUUGAGAGGAUGUCCGUUACUAACUGAGUUAUCAUACUCAUUCAUUUAAUUUUUUUUACUUUUUCAAAUUUCGAUGUUUGUAUCUUAAGAGGCUUAAUUUCGACAACUAUUUGAAUUAGAGAGAUUAGUAUCUAUCUUUAAUUUGGUAUAGCUUUUAAGUAAGUAUUUUAUUAUUGAUUCUAAAAGAUUUGCUAAUAAAUAUUUUAGUAUAUUCGACCAAUGUGUAAAUGAUGUAAUUUUGUAAACUCGAGAUUUUGUAAAAUAUUAUUUCAAAAAUUAUUAAAGAUUUUGAUUUAAUUCAAUAUUUGUUGUCAUUUUAUGAGUAUGAAACGUUGUUGCGUCCUAAAUUCUUGGAUUGGGGGGUAACAUUACCAACAGUUACAUAAAUAUAUAUAGAGUAAACAUUCUCACUAUCAAUAAAAAAACUAUCGAGGAGAGAUGCUAUACCAGGUAUAGCACCCAAACCUGCAACUGAGAAAAGUACUCCAAUAGACAUGAAAAGCUGCAAUACAAGGCUCCAAGUCUAAUAAAACCACCACGGAAAUUCUCCCAUUCUGUAGGCAUCUACUGCUUUGUAAUUCACAAUCUCCCCAAUUGAAUGUCUUCUCCUUCCCGAACCUGAAAACUUUAGCUGCUUCUGAUAGACUGCCACCAUUAAUGCUGAUCUCAUCCUCAUUCCUGACCUCCUCGAAGCAAAAUACCGAUGCCUCGGCGACAAUGACUCGACAACCUUGGAAAGAAUGAGGUAUCCUAGUAAAACAAGACCUUCUUGUAGAUUUACCUCCUGGUUUGAUUAAUUUACAAAAGCAUAGAGCAAUAACGGAAGAGCUACUACAGAAAUCGUCCUAAGAACUGCACAAACUGCUAUAAAAAUAUUUUCCUUGAAGUAGACUUUUGUUAUGGCCCUAAGAACCAAGUUUCUCCUAUCACUUCAGCUUUUCUCUCUCACAAGGGAUUCACAUACACUAGCAAACUUUUGGUAGGCUAAGUUGGAUUCAUCUUCCGUACUAAUAGAGGGCAUGUCUUCAAGGGCUAAAGGUGUCAAAUAACCCAAAGAAAGCAAAGGAUUAAUCCAAGAAAAUGAAAUUUUGCUAAGAAAAGUGGCCUGACAAAUAUCUGUUUGGUUUUUUUCUUCCUUUUCCCCUAACAGAGGUUCUGAUGAACUCUCAUAAUUAACUUGUUUCCUAGCCAAAUGAACGAAGUUUUUAAAAGCACAAAUUACAGUAAGAUGUUCACAAGGCAUGGAAAAAUGUCAAAAAUUUCAAUGCUGUGUGUUCUAAACAGAUCUUCAAUAUACAGAGCUGAAACCAAUGAAGAGAAUGACACCCACCAAGCAGAGAUGACAAUUUUCAUCCAUUGUGAUUUUUGAACAAGCAAGGAAAACUGAUAAGAAAUCCAAAGUAAUCCUCUGAAAAAGCCACACACGCCUUAAGUUAUUAAAUCCAUCAUUUUUGCAAUUAGAUUUCACAAAACCUAACACCAAAGAUACAGAAUACUACUAAAAGCACAACAGAUAGAACAGCAAGGGAAUCCAGUUCCUUCUGUUAAACCACUCGCCUUGAUGUCUUUAACGGAACCCUACAAGCCAAAGUAGAUAAGAAAACAAGAGGAAUAGCAGAGUUAUGACAUCUAUUGAUGGCUCUUUGGAUGCAAAAAGAUCCAAAAUCAGGUUUCCCUUCACAAAUAAAAGAGAAUCCCCCUGCAUAUCCAUCACAGGAUUUAGAAUUAGCAUAUUUUCAUCGUAUGGGAAAGGAAAUAGAAAUGAAAAAAAAAAAGCACAAAGAAAUCAAGAAAGGGCAGCACAUGAACAUUUGGAGAGAACUUCAAACAGGAAGAUUUCAAUAUAGAUAACUAACAUAUCGUCUCCAUUACAAUAGAUAAGGAUGGUCCAUGAUGCCGUCUUACGAAUUAUGUUACCAUAUACAAUGCCAUUCUAGUCUUCUCUUUUGCAUUGUGAGAAGUCUAUAAGUGCUGUGUUCAAGUACUAGAAAGAGCAGAUCAAUGUAUACAUAGAGAUUUAAAGAAGAAGCACAAUAAAAGGCAUUACAUGCUCAUGCAAGACCAAGAAGAAGUAGAAUGCUCAAAAUCCAAUAUGCAUUAAUUAAACAGGUGAUUGAAAAUGAAGAAAUGGGGGUGUACCAAGUAAGGUCCUCGAGGAAGCCAUGGUUGGAGAUUUGUCUGUCAAGCUUUUGGUAAUCACACCAGAACCGUAUCAGUCUAGAGUUAAGACUCUAUGUGCUUUGGCAAAAAAUACUUCAUGAAGUGAAACCCUGCCGUCAUUCACUUCAGCUAUUCCAUAUAGGAGAUGCCAUCAAACAACCCCUGCACUCUAAAGAUUUAUCACAUUUUAUUUUGGUGUUUAUUGGAUUGGUUUUUUGGCUGCUUCUGCAUAGUAGACCGACAAGCAAUUGAGCUUCUAUUUACCUGUCAAUAUUAAAUGCUCCUCCUGUUUAUAUUUUCGUAAAUUCAGUGUAUAAUUAGCCAUUGUCCGGACAGCAUUUGUCAAGAAAUUUACUAGUGGCAAUUAGAUAGCCAUCUUUGUCUGCUCAAAAUAUUGUACAAGGCUGCAUUCACCUCAAUCAGCAACCAAAUUUAGAUAAAAUAUUCAAGGUGAGAAAUAAACAAAUAGGAAAAAUAUAGCAUCUUUUUACGUCUGAAAUUUGUCAUUCUCAGUGAAUAAUCCUUCCACUGAUAAGAACUGACAAAACUUUUUAGUCCAAAUGAUUAAUGAAAUACCAAAUCAUUAAUGAAAAAACAAAACUUUUUAUUCCCUGAGACAACGAAUCAUGAAGAGAAAAAAACAAGGGACAAGACCAGCAAAGCAACAUUUGUUUGCAAUUCUGGUUUCAUGGCCACAAUCUGUCAGCAUAAAUAAUAUAUGCUUAAGAACAAACAUGACCACAAAUAAAAAAAGAUAUAAUGGAGUCAAAACAUGAAAAAGAACAUUGAAUCACGAUUACCCAUUUUGUUAUUUACUCUAUGCACCAGAAACAAUACGAAUAAUUACCAUAAUUGUUACAACCGCCACCCAGGUUAGGCCAUGAAACCUAAUAAAAAGCUGGCCAGACAAACAGAAAAUCUGAAUAAUAGAAAGUUUUCGAAAUUUUAACUUAAAGGUAAAUGUCAAUUUAAAUCUUAUAAACAGAAAAAUAAUGCUAUUGUGAAAAGUGAUUAUAAAUAAAUUAUCCUAUGUAACUCAAAAUCCGAACAUAUAUCUCUGUUUAUGCCCUUUUUCGAAGGUAUUUCCCUUGGCAUAUUCUCAAUAUUCCCACCUUUUUACCAUAAAAGCAGUUCGCUAAUAACAAUAAUAAACAAAAUGGGACUAGUAUUAUUUUUUUCGUAACCACUAGAUCUUUCAGUUGUCAACACAUCGAACGGCCAAUAUCACACAAAAAAAUUGAAUAUUUUCAAAAAUCAUAAAACCCAUCUUUCUUUCUAUAAAUACCCUCCCAACCAUUGGUUCUAUAACCCAUAACCUAGCGUAAACCUCAAUCAAAUAUCCUUCUCUUUCUGUGUCUCGUCCCGCAAAACCCUUCCCUUGUUCAUCAUCAAUAUGGCAGCUUUAAGCCGCAUAGUUGUGAUUUUCUAUUUCGAUAAAACGAUCAUCGAUUGUGAUAGCGAUAACUGGGUAUUGGAUGAGUUGGGUGCUACCGAGUUGUUCAAUCAACUCCUCCUACCAUGCCUUGGAACUCUCUAUGGUAAUUAAUUACUAUUUUCUUUUUUUUUCCCGUUGCAUGUUUUCUUUUUCCUCCUAAUUUUCCAAAUGUAAGAACAAGGAUUUAAUCAUUGUUAUUUUUCCAUAUAUGUACAAAUAUUACAGGAUCAAAUGAUGAAGGAACUUCAUUCACAAGGAACAAAAAUUGACGACAUUGUAGCUGUUCUGAAAAGAACUCCGAUACAUCCCCGAAUCAUCCAAGCCAUUAAAUCAGCUCAUGCUUUAGGGUAUGUUUACAUUUUAAUUUCUCUUCCUUUUUGGUCUUCUAAUUAACUAGAAAAUUACUGAAAUUUUCGGUGGCAAUGGCAUUAUUAUUUUCAGGUGUGAUUUGAAGAUUGUAAGUGAUGCGAACAUGUUUUUUAUCGAGACAAUUUUGGAGCAUCAUGGCCUGAGAGAAUAUUUCUCAGAGAUCAAUACGAACCCAGGUUUUGUUGAUGCAGAAGGCAGGCUAAGGAUCUUCCCUCACCAUGAUUUUACUAAAUCUCCUCACGGAUGCGAUAAUCCAUGCCCUCCAAACAUGUGCAAGGUAUAUAAAUCUGCCUUUCUUGCCAGCAAAAAAUAAGACCGUGAGAAUGUUUAUCUGACACAUGCAUCUGAAAGCUUUUCACCUCUCCAUUUCUAAUUCUUCCUCGUAGCGUUUUAAUAACAUAGUUUUAUAUAGAACGAACAAUCUUUUGUGGAUCAUGACAAAUCACAUGAUUUCUGGAAAAUUUUACUUACACAUAAUCAAUCCAAAGCAUGAUUAGCUGUAUACAGGAUAUAUAUAUAUAUAUAUAUAUAUAACGUUACUUAUUUUAAUUGACUAUGCAUGGUUUAAUUCGUUCAUGGUAUAUAGGGUAUUGUGAUUGAAAGGAUUCAAGCUUCUCUAACCAUGGAGGAGAAGAAACCAAAAAUAAUCUACCUCGGUGAUGGGAUGGGUGAUUUCUGCCCAAGUUUGAAGCUUGGUGAUGGAGACUAUGUAAUGCCAAGGAAAAAUUUCCCAGUUUGGGACUUGAUUUGCAAAAACAGGAGGCUAAUAAGAGCAGAAGUUUGCGAAUGGAGCAAUGGAGAGGACUUUGAGCAUGUGUUGCUUCACCUUGUUAGCAGGAUUUCCAUUGCCAAGAACAACAUUAAUGCUGGCAAUACAGCUCAGUUGUAUUCAGAUUGCAUACUACAAACAUUAAUGCCAGGCGCUGCCAGUGAAGCCUUCUCACAGACCCUCUUGGUUCCACAUUAGAAUUCACUAAAGAUUGUCAAAUUAGUUUCUGACAAUUUCAUGUCUUUUAGCUCUAGUAGAAUGCAGUAAUCUGUAGUUUUAUUAGUUGAAAAACGUCAAAUAAUUGAAUAGCUGUGUACUUUUUUAUCGAAAUAACAUAUUAUGAAAAGUAAUUUUAUCUUGGAAUUGCAUUAACUUUUAUAUUAAUUUCAUGUUGAUGAGGUUUUGAUUUAAUGAUAAAAAAGAGAUUUUAGAAUCUUAAGAUUUUAUGUUCAAGUCCUCUACAUAGAUUUGAUUCAAUUUAUAUAAGAUUUAUUUAACUAUAUGUUAAUUUCUUUCUUGAUUGUUUUAUCUAUUUCUAGAGAUAAGAUUUGAAUUUAAUCCAUUAGAUAUUAUAUUUUAAAGCUAGUUGCAUAACAUAAUUAAAUUAGAUUAUACAUGAUACUUGAAUAUAACUUCAUGAAUACAGUAAAGUAUUUUUUCUAGAAAAACACAUCUAUCUAUUUUAAUAACCAUUUCAUCAAAAGCUUAAUUAGUUAAGAAAUGUUAUCAUAAUGUUUCAAAACAUAUAUAUAUAUAUAUAUAUCAAAUAAGGAAAGCAUGAGGAAAUGGGGAUGCUAUUUUUUUUUUUUGACACAUAGCAUUCAUGGAUUUGUUUUUGGAUCAAUCAUUACCAUAUAAAGCUGUCAACAAUAUAUGUAUUCAACAAUGUCUCCAAAGUAGAAAGCUCCCAAUUCUCAACCAUCCAAUGUGUCCAUAAAAUCAAGCAAAUGUUUUUUAAUUCGUAUCCCACCUAAGGACUUUAAUAGCUCAAUUAAUUGAUCUUGGAGAAUGUUUUAAUUCUAUUUUAUUUGUUUCACAUGAAUCUCGUUGUGACAUUCUUUUUGUGUAUAAAUGUUAAUUAAUUAGUUUUAGUUAAUAGAUCAUAAAGUAAUAUUUUUUUAGUGCUUAUACAAGUUUCUUUAAUUAUAAUUGGAUAAAUAAAUAAAAUAAUUAUAUAAAUUUAUAUUUUUUUAUUUUGUCAUCUUUAACAGCCUAGUCUAAUCUAUAGAGAUUUCACUUAUAUUUUUAAUUUUUUUAAAAAAUAUAAUAUUUUCACACUUCGAGAAUAUAUAUAUAUAUAUUUAUAUUUAUAUAUAUGGUGGAAGAGAAAAAAAAUAAUGAAAAUAAAAAUAUUUUGGAAGAAAAGAAAAAGUUAUGUUUUUUUGUUAAAAGAUAAAUGGCUAGUUUGUUUAAGAUAAAAGUAGGUGGUUUUCUUUCAAAAAAAGAUAUUAUAUAAAAAUUGAAAGAUACGAGACGUUUAUUUGUUUUUUUUAUUAUUAUUUUUAAUUAAGUUGAUGUCAUUUAUGAGGAAUAUAAAUAUAUAUUUAAUUAUUGAGAGAUAAAAACCAUUUAUUUUAAAAUUAUUGGAAUGGAAGGGUGUGAUAUAUUACGGUGGUAAUAGUUUUGGAUCGGAUAUUAGGCCCAUUAAUCAUCCAACUUUAAGAACCAAAUUAAACACGAUAGUCCAUGGCCCAUGGACGAGUCUGAUCAUGUCCAAUGAAAGACUUAUCGCAGUCAUUACUAAAACAGAAUAUUGGAACAAUUUUGUUCUUCUUCUUCUUCUGUCUUUUUCCCUGUGGCUGUCUGUAGGCGAGUCCGAAUCGUGCAUUCAGAAGAGUUUGUUGACUUCUUUCUGCUUAUUUUGGAUAUAUUCAUGCAGACCUAUACUAUACUACAGCUUGGGACAUAGCAUUAAUCAACUUUUCAUUUUAAGUUCUGUAAUUUUUUCUCAUCUUCUCUCCUUUUGUGAGAAGACAGCAAAAAUGUCUUUGUUCUCUUCCUUACAGAUUGCAAAUCCAGGUUGGGGGUCCGUCUUUAACUUACCUUACUGAACAUUAUUGGGACAGCAGACCUGAUGAAGGGUAGCCGGCGGCCUAAUCAAUGAGGUUAUCGUCCGUAGCCACAAUUAUUUCUUAUUCAUGUAUGGAAUAAAAAUUUCACCAAGGCUAGCUUCCAAUCUAAAAAUAUUUAUGCGUAAUCUUUGGCAGUACAUUGUGAUUAUAGUGUUUAUUUAUAUAGAAAAUUUUCAUAUUUUUCCACUUUUUUAUUAUUGAUUAUAUUAAACCUAAUUUGCAAAUGGGGUUAGAAUAAAUAUAAAUAGAGUAAACAUUUCUCACUAACAAUAAAAAAAAAAAAAACAAUUGUUUUAUUUUGAAAUUUUUUUUAAAAAAGUUACAAUGUAAAAUUUUUUUACAAAUUACAAUAAUGAGAUCAAAUAUCUAAAUACUAAAUUCACCUUCCUUAAAAUUCAUAAUAUAAAUUAAUGUGUUAAAAGUUAUAAUUUUCAUUAUCAUCCUCCAUACAUACAUUAAUUAUAUCUAAUUUCAUCGUCACAAUAUCAUUCUCCAUUGACAAGGCUGCUGCUAUGAAGGAACUUUUUUUUCAUGCCUUGUUAAAGCUGCCAUGGCUACAUCUGCCAGUUUUUGUAAGUUCAACUUCACAACAGUAUCCACAAACAUCUUAGUGUCCUCUUCAGUGUUCCCUUCAGGUAUCUCCGCCCAAUAAGACUCCAAAACAAUGCUAUAAGCCUUAUUCCCUCCUUCCCUAAACUCAUUAACCGAUGUCACUGCUCUAUAGUUUUUCAGCCUAUGGUCUCCCCCCACGACCCUAAAGCUCAAAAAAUGUUCAUCAUCGUCUAAUAUCUCUAGCAUUUCGGUGCAGGUGGACGCCGGUAAGCCUGAUAUAACCGUAACUUCUCUUAUGCUUCCAGCUCUUCCAUCUCCUUUCAUUGAGCAACUCUUGAUGAAGUGCUUGUUCUUAUUAGGGUUUCCGAAAUCGCGUACGAAUGGCCAUAUAAGGCUUAGGGGAGCGUUUAUACGUUGUGUUAUUAAAGACGUGCAUGUGUUUGAGGAUAGAGGAAAGGUAUGGUGAGUUUGGAUGAUGGACUCAAGCUUGGA
rnacentral:lncRNA from 1 species